rnacentral:rRNA from 1 species
AGUGAACGCUGGCGGUAGGCCUAACACAUGCAAGUCGAACGGCAGCACAGUAAGAGCUUGCUCUUACGGGUGGCGAGUGGCGGACGGGUGAGGAAUACAUCGGAAUCUACUUUUUCGUGGGGGAUAACGUAGGGAAACUUACGCCAAUACCGCAUACGACCUACGGGUGAAAGCAGGGGAUCUUCGGACCUUGCGCGAUUGAAUGAGCCGAUGUCGGAUUAGCUAGUUGGCGGGGUAAAGGCCCACCAAGGCGACGAUCCGUAGCUGGUCUCAGAGGAUGAUCAGCCACACUGGAACUGAGACACGGUCCAGACUCCUACGGGAGGCAGCAGUGGGGAAUAUUGGACAAUGGGCGCAAGCCUGAUCCAGCCAUGCCGCGUGGGUGAAGAAGGCCUUCGGGUUGUAAAGCCCUUUUGUUGGGAAAGAAAAGCAGCAGGUUAAUACCCCGCUGUUCUGACGGUACCAAAAGAAUAAGCACCGGCUAACUUCGUG